rnacentral:rRNA from 1 species
GAUGAACGCUGGCGGCGUGCCUAAUACAUGCAAGUCGAGCGAACAGACGAGGAGCUUGCUCCUCUGACGUUAGCGGCGGACGGGUGAGUAACACGUGGAUAACCUACCUAUAAGACUGGGAUAACUUCGGGAACCCGGAGCUAAUACCGGAUAAUAUAUUGAACCGCAUGGUUCAAUAGUGAAAGACGGUUUUGCUGUCACUUAUAGAUGGAUCCGCGCCGCAUUAGCUAGUUGGUAAGGUAACGGCUUACCAAGGCAACGAUGCGUAGCCGACCUGAGAGGGUGAUCGGCCACACUGGAACUGAGACACGGUCCAGACUCCUACGGGAGGCAGCAGUAGGGAAUCUUCCGCAAUGGGCGAAAGCUUGACGGAGCAACGCCGCGUGAGUGAUGAAGGUCUUCGGACCGUAAAACUCUGUUAUUAGGGAAGAACAAAUGUGUAAGUAACUAUGCACGUCUUGACGGUACCUAAUCAGAAAGCCACGGCUAACUACGUG